GGAUGAGAGGGCGAUCUGGCUGCGACAUCUGUCACCGCGUUGAUCCCCAGGGUUGAUUCGGCUGAUCUGGCUGGCUAGGCGGGUGCUCCCUUCCUCCCUCACCGUUCCAUGUGCAUCCCUCCCGAAGCUGUGCGCUCGGUCGAAGAGGACAACCUUCGCCGAUAGAGGAGGACCGUUCUUCCAUCACGGGUAUACGAGUAGCUGCGCGCCCCUGCUAGAACCUCCAAACAAGCUCACAUUGCCCCCAGGAAGCACCUAAAUCACAUGGACUAUAUAUGCAGGAUUCCCAAAUACAUUUCU
rnacentral:snRNA from 1 species